CAGCAGCUGCCAGGCAGCUUUGCCUCUUGUGAGAAGAGUGGCCAUGGGACCCACUGGGCUGCUCCAGGUGUUUCCUCGCCUCCUCUUCUGAAAAUCCAGGGCGGUCAUGCAGGCUCCUCCAGGCUGCUCGGUGUGGUCAGGCCGUGAGUGGUUCCAGCAGGCGGGGGCCUAUGUCGGUGCCGCAGGGGGUGCAAGUUAACCCGCAUUCCAUUGCAGGGGUGCAAGUCAACCCGCAUUCCAUCGCCUCCUCCUAUCUGCCCGCAGCAGCCUUCUUGUUUAUUAGGCAUCACCCUGGCAAUCAAUUCAUCUGAUCUUCACAGUAGCCCUGCAAGGUAGGCACUGUUACUAUUGACCCCAUGAUACAGAGGAGGGAAUUGUUGCUGGGGGAGGCUGUGUCCUUCUUUCAUUCAUUCGCUUAUUCAUUCAUUCAGCAAUAUUUUUUGGUAGGAGCAGCAUUGUGGAAGGAACUAGGGAUAUUAAAAGGAAUAAGAUCCAGCCCGUCACCCUCAGGGACCCCACAGCCUCACACAGAUGGAAGUUGACAGUGGAGCCUCUGCCCCUCCAGACACACUGGGAGGUUCUGGCCUGUGGAGGUGCUCGUCGAGGUUUGAGCGAGGGAGAUGACAAAGAAGUGAAUGCAGGAACCAUCACUGGCAACGCGAGCAAAGGCCCUCCAUUCAGUCCUUAUGUCACUGAAUCUUCCCAGGGGCCCUGUGAACCAUGACUGAUGCUCACCCUCAUUUGCAGGUGA
rnacentral:lncRNA from 10 species